rnacentral:rRNA from 1 species
GUAGGGUGCAAGCGUUGUCCGGAAUUAUUGGGCGUAAAGAGCUCGUAGGCGGUCUGUUGCGUCGGCUGUGAAAACCCGGGGCUCAACCCCGGGCCUGCAGCCGAUACGGGCAGACUAGAGUUCGGCAGGGGAGACUGGAAUUCCUGGUGUAGCGGUGAAAUGCGCAGAUAUCAGGAGGAACACCGGUGGCGAAGGCGGGUCUCUGGGCCGAAACUGACGCUGAGGAGCGAAAGCGUGGGGAGCGAACAGGAUUAGAUACCCUGGUAGUCCACGCCGUAAACGUUGGGCGCUAGGUGUGGGUUCCCUUCCACGGGAUCCGUGCCGCAGCUAACGCAUUAAGCGCCCCGCCUGGGGAGUACGGCCGCAAGGCUAAA